rnacentral:rRNA from 1 species
UACGGGGGGGGUAAGCGUUGUUCGGAAUUACUGGGCGUAAAGGGCUCGUAGGCGGCCAACUAAGUCAGACGUGAAAUCCCUAGGCUUAACCUGGGAACUGCGUCUGAUACUGGAUGGCUUGAAUUCGGGAGAGGGAUGCGGAAUUCCAGGUGUAGCGGUGAAAUGCGUAGAUAUCUGGAGGAACACCGGUGGCGAAGGCGGCAUCCUGGACCGACAUUGACGCUGAGGAGCGAAAGCCAGGGGAGCAAACGGG